rnacentral:rRNA from 1 species
AUGAGGAUGGAGAUUCCGACUGUCUCUGGUGCUGCUACUUCCGAGACUUCAGCCAGGCAUGAGGAUCAAGAAAUGGAAGAUGCUGUGACUUCUCAGCCUGCUCUGCCUAACGUUGUCAUCAAUCUUCCUGACAAUGACGACGAAGCGCCUCUGAGGCAGAGGAGGAGCAGGAAGGCGACUGUUGGCAAGGCUGCGCAGGUUAUGUCAGCACCUGGACCACAUAUUCCCGAGGGGGGCAAUGUUGCUCGGGCUACCGUGUCCUUUGCGGAGCCGUUGACGGUUGCCCGCCCUUCGUCGUGGAGUGCUGACCCGCCUUCUCUCUUCUCCACCUACCACGUCCUGGAGGACCAAGCAAGCGCUGCUAAGGAAGCCAUACGCCAGGCCGGAAUUAUGAUGGAGCAGGUGAAGGCGAUCCGAACCGCCAGCCAAGCAGCUUAUGACGCGAGCUCAGCUCUCCAGAGCAAUGUCCAGUCAACUGCUUCCGGUCGACUGGUCGACUCUGAGUCUAGCUGA